rnacentral:tRNA from 1 species
GCCCGCCUAGCUCAAUCGGAUAGAGCGUCAGACUCUUAAUCUGAAGGCUGGGGGUUCGACCCCCCCGGUGGGCU